GACGAACGCUGGCGGCGUGCUUAACACAUGCAAGUCGAACGGAAAGGCCCUGCUUUUGUUGGUUUCUCGAUUGGCGAGCGGGGGAGUGACACGUGAGUAACCUGCCCUUGACUUUGUGAUAACUUCUGGAAACUGGGGCUAAUAUCGUAUAUGAUCUCCUGCUGCAUGGUGGGGAUUAGAAAAUUUCGGCGUUUGUGGAUCGACUCGCGGCUUAUCAGCUUCUUGGUGGGGUAGUGACUUACCAAGUCUUUGACGGGUAGCCGGCCUGAGAGGGUGAACGGGCACCUUGGGCCUGAGAUACGGACCAGAAUGCUACGGGAGGCAGCAGUGGGGAAUAUUGCACAAUGGGCGGAAGCCUGAUACAGCAACGUCGCGUGCGGGAUGCCGGCCUUCGGGUUGUAAACAGAUUUCGACUGUGACGAAGAGUGAGUGACGGUACCGGGUAAAGAAGCAACGGCUAACUACGUG
rnacentral:rRNA from 1 species